AUGGCAUUUAUAUAAUUGUAUGUGGUGUGCAAGCAAAGCUUGAGUUGAAUUUUAUGGUGAGUUCAGGUUAUUGGAAUUUUAUAUCAGUGAGUUAUACCACAUCGAAUGCAUACUGGAGGAAGUGCAUAUGACAUAGUAUAAAAGCAUGGGCCAUUCAAUGGAAAGCUCAUACCUUUCUCGGCCUUUUGGCUAUGAUCAAGUGUAGUAUCUGUUCUUAUCAGUUUAAUAUCUGAUAUGUGGACCAUUGGUUCACACGAUAUUAAAUUUAUUUUUUGAGGGGAAGACUAGACAAAGUAGCUUGCUGCUUGGGUCUUCAUGCGUCGCCUUUGUGUUGCACUAUUGCAUUGGCUAGGCGUACCCUACCAGUUAUAGUUUAAAUAUAUUUCAGCUGGAGGUGGAACUCUAAAGGGGUGUUAGUGGCGAAGAUGUGGAGCCGGUUUAGCGGCAGUAUUGACGGCUAGUGUUUGGUUAGAGUUGGGGAAAUGAUUCUAGUUUGGUUUCGAACCAUGAACUCUAGUUUUUCAUUAAACUCAAUACUCGUUUUCCUUGUUUCUCAAUUCACCUGCAAGAAAAAUGGCUUCAACGAAAGCAGCAGGAGAAGUGGAUCAAUGAAUCUAUGCAGGUGUUUUAAUAGCUCGAUUAAUAAGGAUAUCAAUUUAUUGAACAAGUUGAUGGGGGAGGAGAAUGUGGAAAUGGAGAGGAAGAGAGUGAAUGUUUCAUGCGUUUGUAGUUUUCACCAUACAGUGUUUAUUUUUGUAGUUUUAUGUCUAGUAGAUAUUCUCAACGAAUAAUGUUCCAUUUUCAAUUGUCACGUGCAUCAAAUCUAGUUGUUUACAAGUGCCGUCCAAUUCUUGAAUGGAGGUUUCUAUUUAUUCUUCUCUCAUUGUAGUUUUGUUGGAGAACUUCAAAUGAUUGUAUAAAUUGAUAAUAUAAUUUACCAAAAAUGCAACUUUUUGUUACUUUACUCUUACCUGCUAACCACAUACACACCAGGAUAAGUACUUCCUAGAUUUUAUUAGAGAGAUAGAUAUAUAUAUAUAUAUAUAAAACUUUUAAUCAGUCUCCCUAAAUUUAGAAAUCUUGAAGAUAGAAGUUAAAAAAGAAAUUAAAAUCCAGAAAAAUGACGAUCACAGUGGGAACGAACCCACGACCUUUAGAUUCGGAGUCUAACGCGAUAUCCACUCCGCUAUGUGAUCUUUUUUGCUCAAAUAAAACGGCGAAAUGCACAAAACAAGGAACAGCAACGGCGAUUUCUGUCAUUUUCCAGAUGAU